UCCGUAGGUGAACCUGCGGAAGGAUCAUUACCUAGAGUUUGUAGACUUCGGUCUGCUACCUCUUACCCAUGUCUUUUGAGUACCUUCGUUUCCUCGGCGGGUCCGCCCGCCGAUUGGACAACAUUCAAACCCUUUGCAGUUGCAAUCAGCGUCUGAAAAAACAUAAUAGUUACAACUUUCAACAACGGAUCUCUUGGUUCUGGCAUCGAUGAAGAACGCAGCGAAAUGCGAUAAGUAGUGUGAAUUGCAGAAUUCAGUGAAUCAUCGAAUCUUUGAACGCACAUUGCGCCCCUUGGUAUUCCAUGGGGCAUGCCUGUUCGAGCGUCAUUUGUACCUUCAAGCUCUGCUUGGUGUUGGGUGUUUUGUCUCGCCUCUGCGUGUAGACUCGCCUUAAAACAAUUGGCAGCCGGCGUAUUGAUUUCGGAGCGCAGUACAUCUCGCGCUUUGCACUCAUAACGGCGACGUCCAAAAGUACAUUUUUACACUCUUGACCUCGGAUCARGUAGGGAUACCCGCUGAACUUAAGCAUAUCAAUAAGCGGAGGAA
rnacentral:rRNA from 1 species